UAGGGAAUCUUCCACAAUGGGCGAAAGCCUGAUGGAGCAACGCCGCGUGUGUGAUGAAGGGUUUCGGCUACGUAAAACACUGUUGUAAGAGAAGAAUGACAUUGAGAGUAACUGUUCAAUGUGUGACGGUAUCUUACCAAGAAAGGAACGGCUAAAUACGUGCCAC
rnacentral:rRNA from 1 species